rnacentral:rRNA from 1 species
UACGUAGGCAGCGAGCGUUGUUCGGAGUUACUGGGCGUAAAGGGUGUGUAGGCGGUUGUUUAAGUUUGGUGUGAAAUCUCCCGCUCAACUGGGAGGGUGCGCCGAAUACUGAAUGACUUGGAGUGCGGGAGAGGUGAGUGGAAUUCCUGGUGUAGCGGUGAAAUGCGUAGAUAUCAGGAGGAACACCGGUGGUGUAGACGGCUCACUGGACCGUAACUGACGCUGAGACACGAAAGCGUGGGUAGCAAACAGG